AAUACCCUCCCCUUCCACAUUCUCCUCUCAAUGUAAUCACUUACCAUGGCGGCUCCUACUCUCUUUCGUCCCAUUUUCUCUAAUUUCCUCUCUCUUCUCUUCCUUUUACUUCACCUAGGCUGUUUCGUCUUCUCCCCUUCUUCAUCCUCAUCCCAAAAUCACUCUUCAAAAAAGCGAAAACACUCUUCCAAUCUCAAUUCUUCGCCUCCACCGCCGUCUACUCGUCUCAAAUCCUCAACCACCAACGCUAUUUCCUCUUCAUGGUCUUACAUCAAACGUAUUUUCUCAUCCAAUAAACAAAAAAUCAACAACACCCAAACUCACAAUAACCCUUCAAUUCAAUCUCCCUGUUCUUCAACAAGGUCCCUGCAAAAACCCAUUUCAUCAGAUGACCUAAUUAACCGCUCCGUUUCUCCAAUACCCGAAUCCGAAAUCACCUCCGAUCAAUUAUUCUUCCCUUUACGAAACGAUAUCUACCCAUGUACUUUAUGUGGGGAAGUAUUCCAAAGCCCCAUUCAUCUCGAACAACACCAAUCGAUUAAACAUGCAAUUUCGGAACUCACGGAUGAGGAUUCGGGUAACAAUAUAGUUCGGAUCAUUUUUCAAACGGGCUGGGUUGAUAAAGAGAAAAACCCGGUUAUCAAUCGGAUCCUUAAGAUCCACAACAGCAAACGGAUCCUAUCCCGGUUCGAAGAAUACAGAGAAUGCGUGAAGCUGAAAGCUAGCCGAAACGCCGCCGUUAAGAGAGACGAACGGUGUAUAGCGGACGGCAAUGAAGUGUUGAGAUUUCACUGUACUACCUUCAUUUGUGAACUAGGACAAAAUGGUAAUUCCAGCCUAUGUACUCAACAGUAUUGCAGUGUGUGUGGAAUUAUAAAAAGUGGAUUCUCACAUAAGAUGGACGGAAUUUCCAUGCAACCUAACAGCUGGAGGGGACACGUGUCGGUGCCUGAGGAGAUUGAGGAAGAAUUCGGGUUUAUGAACGUGAAGCGCGCAAUGCUGGUGUGUCGGGUAAUUGCGGGUCGGGUCGGGUGUGAUCCGGGUUAUGUGGAUAAAGAGGAUUCCGGGUUUGAUUCGUUGGUGGGUAGGGAAAACGGGUCACACAUGAGAUUGGAUGAAGAAGAUGAACUGUUGGUAUUUAAUUCAAGAGCUGUACUGCCUUGUUUUGUUAUAGUGUAUACUGUAUGAUUAAGAUGCUGGUGUGUUAUUUAUUCCAUGAGAAAUUUGGUGUUAAUUUUCAGUAUUACUACAACUUAAUAGAAUAGUACUUAAUCUAGUGUGUGACUGAAUCUCAA
rnacentral:misc_RNA from 1 species